CCGCACGCGCGCUACACUGACAGAGCCAACGAGUCUAUCUCUUGACCGAAAGGUCUGGGUAAUCUUGUUAAACUCUGUCGUGCUGGGGAUAGAGCAUUGCAAUUAUUGCUCUUCAACGAGGAAUUCCUAGUAAGCGCAAGUCAUCAGCUUGCGUUGACUACGU
rnacentral:rRNA from 1 species